rnacentral:lncRNA from 1 species
GCGCCCCACCUCCCUGCCGUCAGCGCCUAGAUGGUUGUGAGCCAUCAUGUGGUUGCUGGGAAUUGAACUCAGGACCUCUGGAAGAGCAGUAAGUGCUCCUAACCUCUGAGCCAUCUCUCCAGCCCAAGAGGUCACUUUUGCAUUGUGAUACCAUGCAAUGCUUCAUUGGUCUCUGCUGGUCACUUCACAGAGAGGAAUGCAGCAAAGAAGUUCUUGUAGCAUUCUGGCUGAAUCCUGCCGCUUCUGUUGACUCUUGCCAGUUCAGCAGAAUCUUAUGGUUCCUGCUGGAUCGGGCCGCUGCUACUGAUUCCCGGUUGGUGUUUGCGAUUGGACUGGACUGCUGGUAUCCUGACAACGAAGAGUUGCCCAAAAAACUGGUACUAAAAUGUCCGCAACCCCCCUUCCUAUUAACCCUCUCCUCACCCCACCCCCAACCUCUAGUCGGUGGGUUAGAAGGGAGGUUGAAGUGUUUAAGAACCCUAGAUAACGUAGA